AUGCUUGCGGGUGCUACCAUGCAGUCGAGCGGAAGGCCCUUCGGGGUACUCGAGCGGCGAACGGGUGAGUAACACGUGAGUAACCUGCCCUAGGCUUUGGGAUAACCCUCGGAAACGGGGGCUAAUACCGGAUAUGACCUUUCCUCGCAUGAGGGUUGGUGGAAAGUUUUUCGGCCUGGGAUGGGCUCGCGGCCUAUCAGCUUGUUGGUGGGGUGAUGGCCUACCAAGGCGACGACGGGUAGCCGGCCUGAGAGGGCGACCGGCCACACUGGGACUGAGACACGGCCCAGACUCCUACGGGAGGCAGCAGUGGGGAAUAUUGCACAAUGGGCGGAAGCCUGAUGCAGCGACGCCGCGUGAGGGAUGACGGCCUUCGGGUUGUAAACCUCUUUCAGCAGGGACGAAGCGCAAGUGACGGUACCUGCAGAAGAAGCGCCGGCCAACUACGUGCCAGCAGCCGCGGUAAGACGUAGGGCGCGAGCGUUGUCCGGAUUUAUUGGGCGUAAAGAGCUCGUAGGCGGCUUGUCGCGUCGACCGUGAAAACUUGGGGCUCAACCCCAAGCCUGCGGUCGAUACGGGCAGGCUAGAGUUCGGUAGGGGAGACUGGAAUUCCUGGUGUAGCGGUGAAAUGCGCAGAUAUCAGGAGGAACACCGGUGGCGAAGGCGGGUCUCUGGGCCGAUACUGACGCUGAGGAGCGAAAGCGUGGGGAGCGAACAGGAUUAGAUACCCUGGUAGUCCACGCUGUAAACGUUGGGCGCUAGGUGUGGGGGGCCUCUCCGGGUUCCCUGUGCCGCAGCUAACGCAUUAAGCGCCCCGCCUGGGGAGUACGGCCGCAAGGCUAAACUCAAAGGAAUUGACGGGGCCCGCAUAGCGGCGGAAGCAUGCGGAUUAAUUCGAUGCAACGCGAAGAACCUUACCUGGGGUUUGACAUGGGCCGCAAAAUUUCA
rnacentral:rRNA from 1 species